rnacentral:rRNA from 1 species
UACGGGGGGGGGCAAGCGUUGUCCGGAAUUAUUGGGCGUAAAGAGCUCGUAGGCGGUCUGUCGCGUCUGCUGUGAAAACUCAGGGCUUAACCCUGAGCUUGCAGUGGGUACGGGCAGACUAGAGUGCGGUAGGGGAGACUGGAAUUCCUGGUGUAGCGGUGAAAUGCGCAGAUAUCAGGAGGAACACCGAUGGCGAAGGCAGGUCUCUGGGCCGAUACCGACGCUGAGGAGCGAAAGCGUGGGGAGCGAACAGG